rnacentral:tRNA from 1 species
GCCUUUGUGGUGUAAUGGUUAGCACACUCGGCCCGUAUUUUGUGAGGUCCAGGUUCGAGUCCCGGCGAGAGCA